GCCUGCAUUACUGCACUUUGUACAGAGCACAGCAUCAUCAGGUUUAAUAUAUUUGACCGUAGAAAGGUGCUGUGUGUCUCUGUGCUUUGAGUACCCAUGUCUAUUGAAGAGCUGUGCCAUAAACCAUGUAAGAAAACUUUCAAAAAAUUCUCAGUGGAGUUUAAGAGUUGCUGGUUUGAGUUAGAAGGGGGUGGGGAAUUUAAGGACUUUCUUAUCUGACCACAGUGGAUCCCAGUGCAGGUAGAGAAGUGCCAAAUGGUCGGUAUCUUCCAUCCUGGGAUGAGAACCACCUGUACUGGGAGUAAACCUGUCAUGAGAGCCCUUCACCAGCCUCUGUCUCAGCAGACAGACCAGGAGGACCAGACAGUGAUUCCAUUAAUUUUAAUUAUGAACUAUACUUGCCUCUUUCAUCUCAGGAAGAAAAGACUAUGACUGGAGGGCAAUACGGAGGGAGCUUCUGAUGCAAAGAGUCACUUUAAGGACACAGAAUCUCCUGCCCAUACUGAAAGGACCAAUAUUUUCAUUGGAAGACAAAAAAGCAAGAGGCAAUAAAAUGGUUGGAAAAGCCUCCUUUAACAGCUUGGAAGGAGAUAUAAAGAAGGAGAUGAAGAACAGAAAACAUUGGCUAAAGAUGAAGCUCCAGACCUUGGACUAUUUCCUGAUUCAGAAGGUGUGCACUGCUAUUUAGCUACUGGUCUGUAAGCUCUUGAUGGUCCAUACAAGCAAUUCUUGUCAUUGCUUGUUGGCAGGUGCCAUUAGCAGCCUGUAAGUCAGUCCUUAGGUAUUUCUGAAAAUCAGUGCAUCUCUAAUGGGGGGGGGGAAAUAGAAAGAGCUACCACACUAGUUAAUCCUUCUUUCUCCUCCCUUUUAUUUUAAUUUCUUAUUGUUUAUCCGCACUGACAUUAAGAUAUGACCUAUCCAGUCUACCUUUAACUGCAGAGACAGCCUAGCAGUCUAGCUGCUUCAAUGCCAUUUUACUGUCAAAAUACAUCCUCAGAUAUUUGUUUCCUUGAACCCCUGCACACAGACUUUCUGCUGAAGUUUCUCCAUCUGAAAGAUAGCUGGGGUAUGCCUCUGUGAUAUAUCUGUAAUAAUAAACCUUAGCUGCAGCAUGGACCUACUUCACAGAAUGCAUUUGGGUAUUGUAUUAAGCUGGAAAUAAUAUGGAAAGUAUUCAGAGGGAUGGAUUUAUGUUGGUAUUUUUCAAGUAACGGUGGCUUUGAGGCAUAGUAUAUGUAUCUGUCAAAAUAAUACACACAGCUCUGCAGUUAACUGUUUACAAAGGAUUAAAGUUUAGCUCCUAAUAAGAUGUUCUCUCUGAUGCUUUUGCAUUUGCUACCUAAUACCGUGAGAAAAGUCUGUACAAAUUAUGAAGAGAAUGUAGGAAUUCAUGCAGAUCCAAAAUAUUCUGUUCAAAGGUAGAUAGAGUGAAAAUCCAGGAUAGAAAAAACAGUCCAGACAAAAGCCUUUCUUGCAUAUUGUAGGAAGGAAAGUGGAAACAAACCUUUAUUGAAGUUCAGGAAUAAUUUGACACAUUUCUUGAUUUUGGUUGGGUUUCUGUAAGGCAAAAGAACCAUAAAGGUGUAAUAGUAGAAUUCACAUUUCUACCAGCACUUCAGAUGAAACACUCCUGCCCUGCCAAAUAACUCAAUAAGCUAUCAAAAGAGAAAAUCUUUUUGAGGAUUUUGACUACAUAAAAACCACAAGGAAUCAGUAUUAAGUUUACAGGUAAGUAUUGCCUAUUUGCUUUUUUUAAAAAUUUGUCUCUCCAUUAUUUUGAAUGUUUAUCAUCCUCAGUCUCCUUUUGGCAGCAUGUCGUUCUUUGAAAAAGUGAAAGCAGAUACUACAUAGCUACUCCUCUGCAGCUGUGUUUUGAAGUUUUCUAAUUGGGAACCAUUCUGGCAUAUGGGCUCACCUUUGGUAAAAAAUAUUAACAUUCUGCACAUAUCCACUGAAUAACUAAGAUUUUGGAAGCAAAAAUAACUUCAUUAAAAACAAAAUGGAAACAGUGAAAUGGCAUUUAAAAUUAGAAAGAUGACUGGGGAAUUUUUAAAAUAAAGAGAAAAAAUAUAAAAGUAGAAAAUCACAGUUUUCUGGAUAUGCUCUUCAGCUGAAACCAUAGAGAUGCUGUAAUCUCAAAGCUAGAACACAUUAAAAGCUGAAAAAAUUAAACCAGCUCAUAGUAAGGUCAGGUGACCAAACGUCAUCUGGACUAAGGACUGUCACUGCUUUACAAAUGCUAGAAGCCUAAAAAAGAGGAUUUUGUGGCUUCAAACAUGAAUUUGGAAUAUCAUAAACUUUAUGGAAAUACAAUAAUUAGAAUUUUAGCAUCAUAGACCCAUUUAGAUUGAAAAAUACCUUUAGCAUCGAGUCCAGCUGUAAAUCCAACACUGCCAAACCCACGGCUAAACACUUCCCCAAGUGCCACACCUGCAUGUCUUUUAAAUACCUCCAGCAGUGGUGACUCAACCACUUCCCUGGGUGGCCUGUUCCAAUGCUUGGUGAUCCUUUCCAUGAAGCAAUUUUGCCUGAUGCCCAAUCUAAACCUCUCCUGGUGCAAUCUGAGACAAUUUCCUCUCAUCCUGUUACCUGGGAGCAGAGGCCAACCCCCACCUGGCUAAAACCUCCUUUCAGGUAGUUAUAGAGAGUGAUAAAGUCUUCCCUGAGCCUCCUUUUCUCCAGACUUAACAAAUUCAAAUCCCUCAGCUGUUCCUCGUAAGACUUGUGCUCUAACUGUGUGUUGUCAGGGGGGCAAAGUCUUCAGGAAAGAUAAAGAUUUCCUGGAGAGCAAGUAGUGGUACAGCAUGUGACAGCAUUCAAAGAGUUAAACUUUCUGAUUAAUUUAAGGAUAUCAACAGAUAGUAUGGAUUCUGUACAGAUCUUUACUCUGCACCUACACAGAAAAAUGCCUGCACUGCCUGUUGACAUCAGCCACCUGUUCAGGUUAGUUAUAAUACCUCAUUGUGACAAACAGCAAGAUCCAAGAGGCUAUUAUGAUAGGGUACUUCAGUAGUAAAUUAGGAUGUAAAUUAAGAUGUCAGAGACACAAUAUGAUGCCAAGGUUAAGUUUUUUGAUAUAAUGAAUGAUUGUUUAGUGGAGAGAAAGCCAGACAUCCCAGAGGAGAAAAGCAACUCUGUACUACCAGAAGAUCUGGUUCGAAACUUUGCUACCAGUAAACCAGCACAGAAGCCUAUGAUGUACCUAUAUUCAAAAACCUGGUUUGAAUUCCAAAAUCCAACAGAAAGUGAAAAUUAAGAGUGGAUAUUUAAAAGAUGUAAAUCUCACAUUUUUCCCAUUUAGCCUUUUACUAUUUUAACUAUGAAUGCAGCAUUAGGAACUCUUCUUGCCCUUGAUGUCCCUUUUAAGCAUCUGCUCCAGGCGAGCUUUGACUUUCCUAGCAGCAUCCUUACAUUCACAGGCAAUUCAUAGUUCUUCCAUAGACUGAGAAACCAAGAGAAAUAAGAAGCAAGCAGAGUUCACAAGAGAAUCUGUGGCAAAAAGGGAAAAUUGCCUAUGAUUCAUGGCAUAUGCAUAAAAAGCUCUAGAAAUUAGCUUAAAUUUGCUGAGGAUUUUAAGCUAUUCAGUUUAAGGAAGACCAGAAUAAUGGCAGACUGUUGCCAAGGGAUUCUACAGAGUCAAUUCCAUCCAGCAAUAAAAUUGCAGAUAUAUUUGAAGUUUAUAAAUGCAAUUUGACAUGUGUUUCAAAAAAUAUCUAGACAUUAUAUUCAUAAUGUUAGCUCAAUUCUCUGUACUGGUUGAACAAAUAAGAUGGAUGGCAGGAAGUACUAAAAGGAAGACAGCAGCAGCAAACUUUUUUAUAUCACUGUUUAAACUAUUGUUUAAACUUUAAUAUUACACACAGUUCUCUGUCCUCAGUUUUGAAAAGUACAUCACAGCAUUAAAAAAGAUGGAAAGAGAAAAGAUUAUGAGACAACCAACUUCUGUAUGAAAAAUGACUAAAAUGGGCAAUAACAGUUCAGCCUGGAGACCUAAUGAGGACAGAUGUGAUGGAUAUGGAGAAAAAAUAAAUUGAAAGAGGAGACAGGUAGAAAAUUAUUAUUCACUGAGUAAUAUAAUACCAAAAUAAAGGACAUAAAAUCUAACUGUCUAGGAUGUCUCAGACACAAAAGGAGGAAGUUUUGGGACGCUGUGAACAGUCAAACUGUGGACUUCACUGUCACAGGAGGUCCAUGUGGUUACUGCCAAAUUUUGCAUAUGUUCAGAAAGCACCUGACAAACUUAUGGAAAGAAAUAAUCCAGGAUUUUUAACUCAAGAGUAGUCUUGAAAAGUCCAAGCUGCAGGUCACUAGAGGAUGAAUGACUUUACCACAGGGAAACACCACUGUCUAGAUAUUUGCAUUUAGCUUAUCCUGUCCUGACACUCCUCACUAGGUUUUAUAUUAUAUAUUAAACACACAUAUGCAGAGGGUAUGAUCAGCUUUGUGUUUCUUUGUGGUGCCCUUAUUCCAUGGAACAGGACCUGUGCUUAGUCUUUUCAGCUGGCCCAGUUAGUCCAUUGUGCCAUAGAAACAUCCUGAUCUUAUAACCCGAAAGAGGCUAAAUCAGGCACUAGGAUAAAGAAAGAUGUGUCCCUAAUGGGCAUGGGGCUGUCCAUCUUGAAAUCAUCCCAGGAGUGCCAAAUAUAUGGCUGGAGAGAAACAGAAAUAAAUAAUAGAGGGAAAUUAGUUUUCAAUUGCUCAUUUAGAAUUGCUAGUUUCAAUCAAUGACAAUUUUAGGGCAUUAAACACAUUCCAGAGUAACUUGUCAAAAAACCCCACCCUGCAGUUGCUGACAUUCUCUGAGGUUUUUUUAAUAAGAUCAGGGUCAGUGAUGGGAAAUAAGCAGGAAGAUGAAUAGGAUGUCAAAAUUAAAUUGAGUUCCAGAAGAGUUAUCUUAAGUUCUCAGAAAAAUAGAAACUCAUGAAACUUUGUCUGAAACUAAGCGGGAAAUGUGUGCUUUAGCUUAGAGGGAACAAGAAGGCUGAUGACUGUCUUUAGCAGUAUUAACAACCCAUGGUAUUUUAGCAGCUUGAAAAACACCCUCGCCCUUUGAAUUCUGAAACAGAGAAAGUUCUACUUACUUUAAAUCCUAAUGAUUUCUGGUGCAUCAGGCUCUUUCAUUUUUAUACAUGGAACCCAGAUUAAUUGUUUCAACCAUCUGACUAUCCAUUACAAUCAGAGGAUGUACUUCUUGUUAGAGUAUCACUACUGUUGAAUAAAAUACUAUU